UACGUAGGUGGCAAGCGUUUUCCGGAUUUACUGGGCGUAAAGGGAGCGUAGGCGGAUACUUAAGUGGGAUGUGAAAUACCCGGGCUCAACCUGGGUGCUGCAUUCCAAACUGGGUGUCUAGAGUGCAGGAGAGGAAAGUGGAAUUCCUAGUGUAGCGGUGAAAUGCGUAGAGAUUAGGAAGAACACCAGUGGCGAAGGCGACUUUCUGGACUGUAACUGACGCUGAGGCUCGAAAGCGUGGGGAGCAAACAGG
rnacentral:rRNA from 1 species